AACGAACGCUGGCGGCGUGCCUAACACAUGCAAGUCGAACGGGAUUGAGGGGCUUGCUCCUCAAUUUAGUGGCGCACGGGUGAGUAACGCGUAGAUAAUCUGCCUGACGAUCUGGGAUAACACUUCGAAAGGGGUGCUAAUACCGGAUAAGCCCACGGGGACUUUGGUCUUUGCGGGAAAAGGGGGGGACCUUUUGGCCUUCUGUCGUCAGAUGAGUCUGCGUACCAUUAGCUAGUUGGUAGGGUAAAGGCCUACCAAGGCGACGAUCAGUAUCCGGCCUGAGAGGGCGGACGGACACACUGGGACUGAGACACGGCCCAGACUCCUACGGGAGGCAGCAGUGGGGAAUUGUUCGCAAUGGGCGCAAGCCUGACGACGCAACGCCGCGUGGAGGAUGAAGGUCUUCGGGUUGUAAAGCCCUUUCGGUAGGGACGAAAGCUCUCGACCCAACACGUCGGGAGGUUGACUUAACCUACAAAAGAAGCACCGGCUAACUCUGUGCCAGCCGCCGCAGUAAAAC
rnacentral:rRNA from 1 species